AGUGCGUACUAGGUUCUUUGGCUUUUCGUCGGCUUUCUUGUCGUGGCCUUUACUGGUGGCGGCAAGUGGCUGACAAUUUUACUUUGAACAAAUCAGAGUGCUCAACACAGGCGUUUCGCUUGUAUGCUUUUGCAUGGAAUAAUAGAAUAUGACUUCGGUCUAGUUUUAUUGGUUUUAUAGAUCGUUGUAAUGAUUAAAAGAGACAAACGGGGGCAUUCGUAUUGUUGCGUGAGAGGUGAAAUUCUUGGACCGCAGCAAGACGACCUACAGCGAAAGCAUUUGCCAAGCUUGUCUUCAUUAAUCAAGAACGAAAGUCAGAGGAUCGAAGGUGAUCAGAUACCGCCCUAGUUCUGACCGUAAACGAUGCCAACUAGCGAUUCGCCGGUGGAAUAUUUGCCCUGGCGAGGAGCUUCCCGGAAACGAAAGUCUUCCGGUUCCGGGGGAAGUAUGGUUGCAAAGCUGAAACUUAAAGGAAUUGACGGAAGGGCACCACCAGGAGUGGAGCCUGCGGCUUAAUUUGACUCAACACGGGAAAACUCACCCGGCCCGGACACUGUAAUGAUUGACAGAUUGAGAGUUCUUUCUUGAUUCGGUGGUUGGUGGUGCAUGGCCGUUCUUAGUUCGUGGAUUGAUUUGUCUGGUUUAUUGCGAUAACGAACGAGACCUUAACCUGCUAAAUAGCCCAGCCCGCUUCUGCGGGUUGCUGGCUUCUUAGAGGGACUAUCGG
rnacentral:rRNA from 1 species